GUGAGACCAUCUCAGACAUUAGACAUGUCUGACAACGAUCCCCUACAGCCUUACAUAAGGCCACUCUACAGAGAAGCUUACCAGGCCGUUAAUAAUCUCACGGUGUCUCCUUAGAACUCAAGGAAGCAGAGGUACCAUCCUAUAGAACAGAUCCUGUUCAAGUAAGGUCCUGACCAUGUUAUCUGUUGUCGACAAGUUAUGUUUGGUAGAACUACAUACAUACAUGCAAAUACCACACACCCAACCUUACAACUGACAACAAGGUUUUUAGGGUCCUUUUUCAAUAACAAAGGAUGUAUAAAAAAAAUGUAGAAUUGGUAAAAUUAUUGGGUCUGUCAGACAACCAUGAGACCAUCUCAGACGGUAACUGUCCAGAGAACGAUCCUCUACGGCCCCCAGACGACACACCUCCACAGGGAAGCUCAUCAGGCCGUUAAUCACGCUCUGAUCUCAUGGUCAUGGUUCAUCCACCAGACGUAGGUUCCUGUCUCCUUAGAACUCAAGGAUACAGAGGUACGAGCCUAUAGAACAGAUCCUGUUCAAGUAAGGUCGUGACCAUGUGCAAAAUGCCAGUUAAUAUAAACUCGUUUCAUUGAAUAAACACUUUCGAUGUGGGACUAUUAUGAUCUUGGUGACAGUGUCAGUAAUACUGUAGUAGUAACUUAUCUUUAGUUUUUGCUACGAAGCACCCAAAUUAUUUAGAGGAAAUUGUCUAGUGUUGCUGGGGUUUAGGGUUCCGAACUCAGAAGUGUUUGAUACUGGUAGACUCUAAAAUUAUACAAAUGCAUGACCAAUCCGAAAAUGAAAGGAAAAUAAAAGAAUUUUUAGCUAUCAAUUGAAUCCAAUAUGAUUCAGCUAUGAAUCUAUCUAUUUUGUAAGUCAUGUCUCGAACGUACAUGUAAAGGUGAGUUGGCUCUUUUGAAUUCAAACUUUGUUAUACCUUUUUUAAAGACUAUAUAAUUCUGUAUUUAUACUUAGUUUGGUUGGUCUAUCUGCAGCGGUUAGCUUUGACAUAUUUAAUUAAAUAGUAUUACUACUGGUAGCAAGGUGUUGAGAUUUGUCAAUGUUAUAUUAUAUCAAGAAAAAUGAAUAGAUCAUGCAUUUACAACACAUAGUUUGUUAGUGGUUUAUACUAUUCUGCAUAAUGCUGGUUGGUUAAGUUAUUAGAUUGGUCUACGUCUACCUGCAGCAACUAGUUUUAGCAUAUUCAAUUAGUUAUAAGAUAGUUUAACUUGUACAAACAAGGUAGAGAGUAACUAAUCACUUCAAAGAUUUAUAUUUCUUUGGCCUACAACAGCUGCAAUUGUGUUGCUUUAAUCUCCCGUGUCAAUGACAUGACUUAAGAGAGGAUCGAAUAAGAUGAUGCAUCAAUCAGUUCUUAACUUUCUUCUGUACAAAGGAAAUACAAACUAUAAGAUGAUGAAGCAUUUUUGGUGUAUCUUAAAACAAACUGCAAUGAAGCAACUAUUGCAUAAAACUAAUCACGAAGUUGAAUGUGGUAUUUCAACUUACUGAACUUAGGGUUCCAAAUUCAAUCAGCAUGUCAUUAUAUUUUAUGGGAAAAUGUGCAAGACCUGUGACAUCUGUGCUUAGUUUCUUGACAGGGAGAGGAUCCUUCAUAGUAGCUUGCUACUGGGAUUCUCAUGUGUUGCCCAUGCCUUACACUACAGGAGGGGCUUGGCACAUCCCACCCAAGUCAGUUUCAAUGUUAUAAUUAUUAUUAAUGUUUUAUUUACACUAAUCUUCAAUAUUUGAUCAGUUUUAAUGUUUUAUUUACUCUAUAGCAGUUUCAAUGGUGAUAUUAUAAGCUUGUUGCAUCCCACCCAACUUAGUUUCAUCGUCUUAAAGAUUUACAAUCAUAGUAUUGUCUUGUUUUUAAGUAAUAUUAUAGUUAACUCAAAGACUUAAUCAUCAUAGUAUUGUCUUGUUUUUAAGUAAUAUUAAUCAUCAUAGUAUUGUCUUAUUUUUAAGUAAUAUUAUAGUUAACUCAAAGACUUAAUCAUAAGAGUAAUAGAGCCUAUAAUAUUAAUUGUUUUGUACCUUGCCAGUGUACCGUUAAUAGUGCCUAUAAUAUUAAUUGUUUUGUACCUUCUGUUCUAUUAAAAAUGGUUUGUUUGAUUUUAUUUAUGUGAUAGGUUGAUAAGAACUAAGAAGAGAUGUUGACACAAUAUGAGGAUUAUCUUUUUCUAUUCAAAUAUUCAGAUUUUGAAUUUUAUCAGCUAGGGAUUUUUUAAAAGAAUAAUGGCUGCUACAUUUUAUUUCUCUGAAAGAAUCGUACAAAGGUUAAUUCUCUUUUUGCAGUGUAUUUCUCAUCAUGAUAUUACCCUAUUUUUAGGAAUUAGUUUUUGUGGAGGGAUAUAUCCCACUUUUCCAUGUUUGGGUUUUUUCCUUGACUUAUCAUAGGUUCUCUUAUUCUUCUUUCAGUGUUCAAAAUUGGAUUUCUAAUUUGCCUUAAAACUAUAGAUCCAAGGAAGUUAAUUGAUCAUCUUGUCUAGCAUGUUAAAUUUUUCUGGCAACUGAGUCAAAUUUUACUGAUCUCAAAGAUGAUUUGUGCAUAAUGUGAUAUUUCAUUUUCAUUCUGGGUUCCAGAUUCAAUCAGGAUGUCAUUAUCUUUUAUGGUAACAAUUUGCUUACUUUUCUCGGUGCAAAUUGAAAUUUAAGAUUGUUGUUCUAAUAUAGCCUUAUAUAUUCUUGAUCUUGAUAGGUUGAAAUUACCAAAUACUUCAGCGUAAUUAUCAGUUUUGGCAAUAAUUCUUCCACACAAUGCCUUUAAUGAAAAAACUUCCUGCUGGUAAUAUUAAAAUAACAUAAUUAUGGGUCUGUUUGUUUAAACUUAAAAACAAGUGCUUUUAAAAAACAAUUAUUUAAGAAGUAGAUAAAAGUUGCUUCUUAAAAUAAGCAAAAAAACUGUAUUUUAAAAAAAGGAUGUUUAGACAAACACAUGAAAUUUUUUUUUCAAAAAAAAGUAUUCAUUUUAUCAAAAAGAAACCCUUCUAGAGAAAAAAAAAAAUUAAAACAAACAAACCCUAUAUUUGAUAGGUUCUCCAGGAUAUCAGUUCUUCAAUGACAAUACAGAUUGUAUGAGCAUUAAUUUUGUCUCCUCUCUUAUAUUGCAAGUACCAUGUCUUAUGCAUUAGUGAUUAUAAAGUAUGGGGUUUCAAUGGCAAAGCCAGGGCUCUGAAAAUUGGAAUGAUAGAAUUGUAGUAGUUUUAAUAUUAAUCAAAUGAUAUAGUUAAAACAGCAUUAUUAACCAAAACAAAUACCGUUUGGACAUUAUUAGAUUUUCCUUAUCUGAUCAAAAUCUUUGGAUACUUUACUGAUACAUAUCCAUGAAGUAUCUAAGUCUUUAAAAAACAACUGAAAAUUCAGACCAGCUACAUAUGAGGCAUAGAAACGUGUAUAAUAUAAAAAUAUAGAAACAUUGUCCCUUGAUGAAUUUAAAAAAAAAAGAGAGAGAGGGAUUUGUAAGCAUCGUCCAAGAAAUAUAUUUUUAAUUUGGAUUUGCAGAAUUAUAAUUAUAUAUUUAUUAUGUUUGACAGAUUUUUACAUACAUCUAGAUAUGUAUCUUACACUAUCCUGUCCUAUUUAGUUUAGAAUAAUCGCAUCACCUAGUAGUUGAUUGUGAAUAAUUGUAUGGAAAGGCGGUCGACCAAUGCGAACCUUGAAAAAUUAUAUUGUUUCUAUACCUCCAUAUCGACUAAGUGGCCAUGGCCAACUUGACAGCCUCAGAAUGCAUAAUGAUGUCUUUGAACCUUAUAAUGCUUUCUGAGCUGGUGAAUAGAUGAGGUGGAGUAUAUCCUAACCGAAACUAGAUCUUACGGGAAUGUGGGCAAUCUCAAAGUGCAUGAAGGAUUGUUUCUUGCCUGCCUGAACAACGUGCACAAAGUUCAAUCUCUUCCAGCCGUCUUGAGUGGUAAAACAUGUUUGUAGCUGAAAAUAACAUCCCGAAGGGUCUCCCAUCCAAGUGAAUGAGUCUACCCCAACUCUAGAUGAAGGUAUAUCAAGUUGUUGAAAAAACACCAGCCACUCAUUCAAGAUAGUAGUGCGAAGGAAGCCAAAAUCCCAUGUUCCAAGUUGUCAACAAUCUGCCACUGUAGCAGCAGAGUCAUUGAUGUGGAUCACUAGAACCUGAGUUCCGAGUUUACCCAUUCCAGACUAGUUGUCAAACCACAAGAUGAGUGACCGGAUCCAAACUUUGGACGAAACCCCUCACGGAUGAAAGGAAGCGCCUUAACUAACUCCUUUAAACUGGCAAGGCGCUUGACUUACUGCAUGCAUGGAGAAUCGAUUCACCAUUCAAAUAUUUGGCACAAACAAAACUAACCCAAGAUUUAUAGUGGAGGUGGAUGAGAUCCCAUAUCAACUUUCCAAGAAACGAGAUAUUCAUAUGUCGAGUCUCUCGUAUCAAAUAAAAGAAAAUUACUUUUUACAAUUUUAUUAUUAUUAAAUAUAUAUCAUUUUUUUUCUUUAUAAAGUUAUCUCUAAUGUCAUAAAAACUUCUUACUUCAUGAGCUUUUGGCACACCACCUCAUUCUAUUGUUUGCAAAAUGAAAACAUUUUUUCUUUCAUUACCCACACUUGCUUACCCUUGUUGGUCUCCAAUCAGCUGUUGCUUUAUUUUAUUUUAUUUUUUACUACCAAAUACCAAUUGAUAGAAUUAAACCCAGCCAUAGCGCGAGAUUCAUGUUCAACAGACAACACCUAUUAAACAUCUUCUGAGAUUCAUGUUUGCCCUUUUUAUUUUCCUUGGAUUUAUAUGUUGUGUGGCUUUCGUUGUUCUUCAGUUUAUAUGAUAUGUGAUUGAAUUUGUUACUGGACAUGGGAUGUAAGGUUUGUAAACGAUCAAGUGUCCUUGG